rnacentral:rRNA from 1 species
UAGGGAAUAUUGCACAAUGGAGGAAACUCUGAUGCAGCGACGCCGCGUGAGUGAUGAAGGCCUUCGGGUUGUAAAGCUCUGUCGUACGGGAAUAAGCAAGUGAAUGUACCGUGCAAGAAAGGAUCGGCUAACUUCGUGCCAGCAGCCGCGGUAAGACGAGGGAUCCAAGCGUUGUUCGGAAUUAUUGGGCGUAAAGCGGAUGCAUGUGGCUUUUCAAGUCAGGUGUGAAAUCCCAGGGCUCAACCCUGGAAGUGCAUUUGAUACUGUGAAGCUUGAGUGCUAGAGAGGUAAGUAGAAUACCUGGUGUAGUGGUGAAAUACGUAGAUAUCAGGUGGAAUACCGGAGGCGAAGGCGGCUUACUGGCUAGACACUGACACUCAGAUCCGAAAGCGUGGGGAUCAAACAGG